AACGAACGCUGGCGGCAGGCUUAACACAUGCAAGUCGAACGCACCGCAAGGGGAGUGGCAGACGGGUGAGUAACGCGUGGGAAUCUACCCAUCUCUGCGGAAUAGCUCCGGGAAACUGGAAUUAAUACCGCAUACGCCCUACGGGGGAAAGAUUUAUCGGGGAUGAAUGAGCCCGCGUUGGAUUAGCUAGUUGGUGGGGUAAAGGCCUACCAAGGCGACGAUCCAUAGCUGGUCUGCGAGGAUGAUCAGCCACAUUGGGACUGAGGCACGGCCCACACUCCUACGGGAGGCAGCAGUGGGGACUAUUGCACAAUGGGUGCAAGCCUGAUCCAGCCAUGCCGCGUGAGUGAUGAUGUCCUUAGGGUUGUAAAGCUCUUUCACCUGUCAAGAUAAUGACGGUAACCGGAGAAGAAGCCCCGGCUAACUUCGUGCCAGCCGCCGCCGUAA
rnacentral:rRNA from 1 species